AUACGUAGGGGGCGAGCGUUAUCCGGAAUUACUGGGUGUAAAGGGUGUGCAGGCGGCAUUGCAAGUUUGAUGUGAAACCCCGGGGCUUAACUCCGGGCGUGCAUCGAAAACUACAGAGCUAGAGUACAGGAGAGGAAAGCGGAAUUCCUAGUGUAACGGUGAAAUGUGUAGAUAUUAGGAAGAACACCAGUGGCGAAGGCGGCUUUCUGGACUGAAACUGACGCUGAGACACGAAAGUGUGGGGAGCAAACAGGAUUAGAUACCCUGGUAGUCCACACCGUAAACGAUGAGCACUAGGUGUCGGGGAGCAAUUUCUCGGUGCCGCAGUUAACGCAUUAAGUGCUCCGCCUGGGGAGUACGUACGCAAGUAUGAAACUCAAAGGAAUUGACGGGG
rnacentral:rRNA from 1 species